rnacentral:rRNA from 1 species
CAGUCGCCGCGGUAAUACAGAGGAUGCAAGCGUUAUCCGGAAUGAUUGGGCGUAAAGGGCUCGCAGGCGGUUUCUUAAGUCUGAUGUGAAAGCCCCCGGCUCAACCGGGGAGGGUCAUUGGAAACUGGGAAACUUGAGUGCAGAAGAGGAGAGUGGAAUUACACGUGUAGCGGUGAAAUGCGUAGAGAUGUGGAGGAACACCAGUGGCGAAGGCGACUCUCUGGUCUGUAACUGACGCUGAGGAGCGAAAGCGUGGGGAGCGAACAGGAUUAGAUACCCCUGUAGUCCCUGUCUCUUAUAC